rnacentral:lncRNA from 1 species
GUGUUAGAGGACUCUUAUAGUUGUUGUUGUAGUAGCGGCAGGCAACGAGUUUCAGACUUCCUCCGUAUCGAGAUCAAGGAAAACUGCCACUUCCCUGGGCUUGAGCCAAAGAUUCAGGACAGUCAUGUUUGUGGGUUUACGUGAACAGUUAAAUAGGUGGUGUACAUCAUGUGGCUGACCGAGGCAGAGGGGACAUUCAUUUUUUUAUAUUUGAAGCAGAGCGGCUGGAAUACACUGCUUCCCAAGCAAAAAGAUUGAUUGAAUGUCCUCUUGAUGCAGAGAGUGGAGUUGGUCUGAGUGAACAUGUUGUUGCCGAGUCGGGAGUGAUGGCCGUUGGCUGGGAUGUUGGAGUGAUCCUUGUCCCAGGUCUUCUCGGUGCGUAGAACCCGCCAUCGUAGAGAAGG